AGGAAUAUUGGGCAAUGGACGCAAGUCUGACCCAGCCAAGCCGCGUGCAGGAUGACGGCCCUAUGGGUUGUAAAACUGCUUUUGUACGGGAAGAAACCCUCGAACGUGUUCGAGGCUGACGGUACCGUAAGAUAAGCAUCGGCUAACUCCGUGCCAGCAGCCGCGGUAAUACGGAGGAUGCAGGCGUUAUCCGGAUUUCAUUGGGGUUUAAAGGUGCGUAGGCGGGACUGUAAGUCAGUGGUGAAAUCCUUCAGCUUAACUGGAGAAUUGCCAUUGAUACUGCAGACCUUGAGUACAGUUGAGGUAGGCGGAAUGUAGUC
rnacentral:rRNA from 1 species